UCAAUUUUCGACCGCAUGUGGUCGAAAAUUGAAUCACAUUUGUAUAUACACAUCUCGCUUGAAACAGAUCUGUGAACACACUUGGCCACAUUUAUAUUUUUUCUUUCUCUCUGUUUCCUCUCUCCCUCUCCUCUCCCUACCCACACACACCACCUCUCUCCCUCUCCUCUCUCUCUACCCACACCACCAGCCCACCGCCCCACCAACCCAAACCCUCAACCCACCACCAGUCCAUCGUCAGUCCACCGUCGGCGGCAUAGCUUCUGAAGCUUCAAGAUUUCCCAGCAAAAAGAGCACUUGAAAGCAUAGAUGCUGAUGAUGAUGGCGCAGCUGAUCCUAAGGAGUAUGAAACUAUGAAGCAUCAAGUUGCUCAGCUAACAAGAACACUUAAUUCCUCGGAGGCUAGGAUGUUGGGUAUGCAAGCCCAAAUUAAUAGUUUAUGAUGGAUAUGUUUAAAUGGAUAUGUAUAUUAUCUUUAAGGGUUUGAAUGUAGGUUUAAUUCAAAUUAGAAGUACUUUUAAGUUUAUAAUGUUUAAGUGUUUGAAUGAUGUUUAAGUGUUUGACUGUAGUUUAUGAUGUUUAAGUGUUUGAAUGUAGUUUUAAUUUUAAGUACUUUGAGGUUGAAUUUGAUUGUUUAUAAGUGUUUGAAUGGACAAUAAUGUUUAAGUGUUCAAGUGUUUGAACAUUGUUUAUGGUUGUUGUGAUGCAUUGUUGAUGAA